CGGUCAAGCUACUAAGGGCGCACGGUGGAUGCCUUGGCACCAAGGGCCGAUGAAGGGCGUGGCUCGGCUGCGAUAAGCCCCGGGGAGCCGCCAAGCAGGCGUUGAUCCGGGGAUGCCCGAAUGGGGAAACCCGCCCGGGGUAAUGCCCGGGCAUCGCCGCCUGAAUCCAUAGGGCGGCGAGGGCAAGUGGGGGAACUGAAACAUCUUAGUACCCCGAGGAAAAGAAAUCAACCGAGAUUCCCCAAGUAGCGGCGAGCGAACGGGGAACAGCCCAAACCGUCGGGACUUAGUGGCCGGCAGGCCUAUGUCCCGGCGGGGUUGCAGGCCCCGGCAGGGAGGGCUGCCGACCUCCCACGGAGUUACAAACCGAACCCUAGCCGAAGGACCCUGGAAUGGGCCGCCAGAGAGGGUGAAAGCCCCGUAGGCGAAAGGGGGAGGCUCCGGCCGGUGAGCCUGAGUACCACGGGACACGGGAAAUCCCGUGGGAAGCAGGGGGGACCACCCUCCAAGGCUAAAUACCCUUGGUGACCGAUAGUGCACCAGUACCGUGAGGGAAAGGUGAAAAGAACCCCGGUGAGGGGAGUGAAAUAGAGCCUGAAACCGUGCGCCUACAAGCAGUCGGAGGACCAUGUUCCGGCCCUGCGGGGCCGGGACGGUCUGACGGCGUGCCUAUUGAAGAAUGAGCCGGCGAGUUAAUCUCGGUGGCCUCAGGUUAAGGGGCUGGAGCCCCGGAGCCGCAGGGAAACCGAGUCCGAACAGGGCGUUGGCCGGUCCGAAAGGGCCGGCCGGGUCGCCGGGAUUAGACCCGAAACCGGGUGAGCUACCCAUGGCCAGGGUGAAGCGGGACUAACCCUCCCGUGGAGGCCCGAACCCGUCGGUGAUGCAAAACCGUGGGAUGAGCUGUGGGUAGAGGUGAUAUGCCAACCGAACCCGGAGAUAGCUGGUUCUCCCCGAAAUGCAUUUAGGUGCAGCCUCGGGUGUUCAGUCGGGCAGGUAGGGCUCUGGUUGGGCUAGGGGCCGUCGAGGCUACCGAACCCACCCAAACCACUAAUGGCCCGACUCCACAGCCCGGGAGUGAGACCGUGGGGGAUAAGCUCCAUGGUCGAGAGGGAAACAGCCCAGACCGCCAGCUAAGGCCCCCAAAUCCAGGCUAAGUGGUAAAGGAAGUGGGGUCGCUUAGACAGCCAGGAGGUUGGCUUAGAAGCAGCCAUCCUUGAAAGAGUGCGUAAUAGCUCACUGGUCGAGCGGCCCUGCGCCGAAAAUUACUCGGGGCUUAAGCCUGGUGCCGAAGCUGCGGGUCUCGGACCGUCAGGUCCGGGGCGGUAGGGGAGCGUUCCGCACGGCGGUGAAGGCGGACCGUGAGGACCGCUGGAGCGUGCGGAAGUGAGAAUGCCGGCAUGAGUAGCGUAAAGGCGCGUGAAAAACGCGCCCGCCGUAAGCCCAAGGUUUCCUACGCAACGUUAAUCGGCGUAGGGUUAGCCGGGCCUAAGCCGAGGGCGCAAGCCGUAGGCGAUGGACAACGGGUUAAUAAUCCCGUGCCACCGGCGGCCGCUAUGAGCGAUGGGGUGACGCAGGAGGGUAGGCCCAGCGCGGGGUUGGAGCCGCGUCUAAGCCGGUAGCCGUGCCCGGGCAGGCAAAUCCGUCCGGGCGUUAAGGUGAGAGGCGAAUGGGAGGCCGCGGCAUUGCCAAGGCCAACUGGGCUGAGCCCACACUGCCAAGAAAAGCCCCUAGCCAGGCCAAAGGUGCCCGUACCGCAAACCGACACUGGUGGGCGACGGUGAGAGCCGUCAGGCGUUCGGGCUACCCCCCCUUAAGGAACUCGGCAACUUGACCCCGUAACUUCGGGAGAAGGGGUGCCCCGGUAGGGUGAAGGAGCUCGCCUCCGGAGCCCGAGGGGGUCGCAGAUAACAGGGCCAGCCGACUGUUUAACAAAAACACAGCUCCCUGCUCAAGGCGAAAGCCGACGUAUAGGGGGCGACGCUUGCCCAGUGCCGGAAGGUUAAGGGGAGGGGUGAUGAGCCCCAAACCGAAGCCCCGGUGAACGGCGGCCGUAACUAUAACGGUCCUAAGGUAGCAAAAGCUGCCUGCCCCGGUGGCAACACCGGGGGCAAUACCCGGCUGUAUGCGGGAAAGCCCUUAGAGCCCGGCCCUACUCGGGGCAAGAGGCGGCCCCAGUAAAAAUGGGCGGGAUUGGGUGACCCGCAGGAAACCUCCGGCCGCAGGCCGGGGGGAUCCUCAGAGACUAUACGCCGGGCAUCCGGAGGCCCCCGAUGGAGUUGACGGCCGACUGGGUGGUCGGGUUCGUCGAUGCCGAAGGUUGCUUUUACGUCGGCAUCAACCCGCACCCGUCGCUUAAAACCGGCUAUCAGGUCCUGCCUGAGUUCCGGGUAGUCCAGCACGAACGGGAUGUCCAGGUGCUGUAUGCCCUCAGGCGCUUCUUCGGGUGCGGCGUGGUGCGCCGCAACCACGGGGACCGCUGGGAGCUACGGAUCCGGAAGCUGGAGUGCCUGCGGCGGGUUGUGGAGUUUUUCGAGGCCCACCCGUUGCGGACCAGGAAGCAGGUCGACUUUAAGAAAUUUGCCCGGGUCGUUCGCUGGAUGACGGAGGGGCGGCACCUGAGCCGGGAGGGCCUGGCCGAAAUCAUCGAGGUGGUUGCGACGAUGAAUCGGGCCGACAAGGUUAAGGCCCGGGAGGUUCUGGCCAAACUCCGGGAGGCUUCCGGAUGAAGAUAUAGUCCACCCCUGCCAGAAAUGGCGGGAAGACGGUGAGCGAAAUUCCUUGUCGGGUAAGUUCCGACCCGCACGAAUAGCGUAACGAGCUGGCCAGUGUCUCGAGGGGGGACCCGGCGAAAUUGAACUAGCCGUGAAGAUGCGGCUUACCCGCGGCGGGACAAAUAGACCCCGUGGAGCUUUACUGCAGCUUGGCAUUGGAUCGGGGUUGGGGAUGCGUAGGAUAGGUGGGAGCCUGUGAAGCCUCCCUUGCGGGGGAGGUGGAGGCGCCGGUGAAAUACCACCCUUCCCCAAUCUUGGUUCUAACCCCGGCCGUUAGCCGGUCGGGGGACAGUGCCUGGUGGGCAGUUUGGCUGGGGCGGCCGCCUCCUAAAAGGUAACGGAGGCGCCCAAAGGUCCCCUCAGGCCGGAUGGAAAUCGGCCGUUGAGUGCAUAGGCAUAAGGGGGCUUGACUGUGAGGCUCACAAGCCGAGCAGGGGCGAAAGCCGGGCUAAGUGAUCCCACGGUUCCGUGUGGAAGGGCCGUGGCUUAUCGGAUAAAAGCUACCCCGGGGAUAACAGGCUGAUCUCCCCCAAGAGUUCACAUCGACGGGGAGGUUUGGCACCUCGAUGUCGGCUCGUCCCAUCCUGGGGCUGAAGCAGGUCCCAAGGGUUGGUCUGUUCGCCCAUUAAAGGGACACGCGAGCUGGGUUCAGACCGUCGUGAGACAGGUCGGUCUCUAUCCGCCGUGGGCGCAGGAGGCUUGAGGGGGGCUGCUCCUAGUACGAGAGGACCGGAGUGGACGGACCUCUGGUGUACCGGUUGUCCCGCCAGGGGCAGCGCCGGGUAGCCAUGUCCGGACGGGAUAAGCGCUGAAAGCAUCUAAGCGCGAAGCCCUCCCCAAGAUGAGGCCUCCCACCGGGUCAACCGGGUAAGGCCGCAGGGAGACUACCUGCUUGAUAGGCCGGAGGUGUAAGCCCCGCAAGGGGGUGAGCUGACCGGUACUAAUGGCCGAGGGCUUGACCAC
rnacentral:rRNA from 1 species